UCGAGGAUCUUCGGCAAUGGGCGCAAGCCUGACCGAGCGACGCCGCGUGUGGGAUGAAGGCCUUCGGGUUGUAAACCACUGUCAACGGGGAGGAAAUGCAGGGGGGUUAUCCCCUCUGUUUGACCUAUCUGUGGAGGAAGUACGGGCUAAGUUCGUGCCAGCAGCCGCGGUAAGACGAACCGUACGAACGUUAUUCGGAAUUACUGGGCUUAAAGGGUGCGUAGGCUGCGCGCAAAGUUGGGUGUGAAA
rnacentral:rRNA from 1 species